AGCCGCAGCCCCGAGCCCGGUCGCCUCACUUGGCGGACGUGAGGCCUGUAGUAAAGAGUAAAGCCUGAGGUAGAUUACCCCUCCCAUCGAGCACGUUAGUUUCCUGCUUACCGCGUAAGCAACCCGCUCAACAAUAUAGUCUGCCUGGCAACUGAUGAUGUUAGCCAAUCAGCUUGCCUUGCUUACUUUAACAUGAUUGGACACUGUAUCCGUAUAUAUACUGGUGCCACCCCUGGGGGGGAAGAAGAAGCCCGGAAGUAGAAGCCCAGAAGGAGCCGCGGGGAGCGGACCAAAGGAGGCUUCGGCUGGGAGCGAUCCCAGGGCAGGCUGUACGGAGAAGGAAAAUAAAAGAAAAGGUUGUCCACUGCCAGACUUUGUCGUGUGUCCUUCCUGCCGGCCAGGAGCGACAUCGACAUUUGGAGGCCCGUACGGGGACUGAUCACCCCCGAGACGUGACAGCGGACAACGCUCCAGUACAGAGCUGCGAGACAGGAAUCGGGACGAGAACCACUGUGGGUACCAGAGAGACUGACACGGGCGACAAAGCCCUCGACUGAAGAUCAGACCUGCCCUACCGGAGAUCCAUCACAGACCAACCAACAAGAUGAAUAGAAAUAGCGGUAGCCCGAAAUGGACAAGAAGAUCCUCAGGCAUAUGCAUGGCUCGCUCGCCUAGCCUACGACCGAGUCUAGGGGUGGUGAGCUUCCCACACUCCUCCUCUAAAAAAUUAUGACAUAGCUGGGUAGGAGAGUCAAUGACGGGUAAGAGCGUAUUCCCCCGGUGCGACUCAACCUAAGCCAGGCCCUACCCCAUCCUGCACGUAAGCCGCUGGACUGUUAGAUGCUGCCCAGGUCUAAAUUUCUCUCCGAGGGGAUUUCUUUACGGAGAGGAAAUGAGUGCAAGCUUGUGUGCAUCCAGGUUCCGUCCAGUUUGUGCCUGGCCCUAGAAAAAGGACGAGGGCCUCAGGGCCUUGGCAGACCAUGGGACGGCCGACCAGGGUCUAAGCCAAGGACCUACGGUGGGCCUACGCAUAGGGCAUAAGCCUCUGCACCCAGUCCAGGAAGGGCUACGAUGCGCACAUUUAUAAAAAAAAUAAAAAAGGGGGAGAUGUUGGGAGCCGCAGCCCCGAGCCCGGUCGCCUCACUUGGUGGACGUGAGGCCUGUAGUAAAGAGUAAAGCCUGAGGUAGAUUACCCCUCCCAUCGAGCACGUUAGUUUCCUGCUUACCGCGUAAGCAACCCGCUCAACAAUAUAGUCUGCCUGGCAACUGAUGAUGUUAGCCAAUCAGCUUGCCUUGCUUACUUUAACAUGAUUGGACACUGUAUCCGUAUAUAUACUGGUGCCACCCCUGGGGGGGAAGAAGAAGCCCGGAAGUAGAAGCCCAGAAGGAGCCGCGGGGAGCGGACCAAAGGAGGCUUCGGCUGGGAGCGAUCCCAGGGCAGGCUGUACGGAGAAGGAAAAUAAAAGAAAAGGUUGUCCACUG